GAUGAACGCUGGCGGCGUGCCUAAUACAUGCAAGUCGAGCGAAGAGACGAGGAGCUUGCUCCUGUGAGGUUAGCGGCGGACAGGGGAGUAACAAGAGGAUAACAACCUGAUACGACUUGGAUAAUUACGGGAAACCGGAGCUACUACCGGGUAAUAUAUUGAGCCUCAUGGUUCAAUAGUGUAAGACGGUUUUGCUGUCGCUGAGGGAUGGAUCCGCGCCGCAUUAGCUAGUUGGUAAGGUAACGGCUUACCAAGGCAACGAUGCGUAGCCGACCUGAGAGGAGGGUCGGCCGCACUGGAACUGAGACACGGCCCAGACUCCUACGGGAGGCAGCAGUAGGGAAGCUUCCGCAAUGGGCGAAAGCCGGACGGAGCAACGCCGCGUGAGUGAUGAAGGUCUUCGGCGCGUAAAACUCUGUUAUUAGGGAAGAACAAAUGUGUAAGUAACUAUGCACGGCUUGACGGUACCUAAUCAGAAAGCCACGGCUAACUACGUG
rnacentral:rRNA from 1 species